rnacentral:rRNA from 1 species
GGACUACUGGGGUUUCUAAUCCCGUUUGCUCCCCUGGCCUUCGUGCCUCAGCGUCAGUAACUGUCCAGAAACUCGCCUUCGCCACUGGCCUUCCUUACGAUCUCUACGCAUUUCACUGCUACACCGUAAAUUCCAGUUUCCUCUCCAGUACUCUAGCAUGGCAGUAUCCAAUGCAGUUCCAGGGUUGAGCCCCGGGAUUUCACAUCAGACUUGCCUUGCCGCCUACGCACCCUUUACGCCCAAUGAAUCCGAACAACGCUCGAGACCUCUGUAUUACCGCGGCUGCUGGCAC